rnacentral:rRNA from 1 species
AAUCCAUAGGUUAAUGAGGCGAACCGGGGGAACUGAAACAUCUAAGUACCCCGAGGAAAAGAAAUCAACCGAGAUUCCCCCAGUAGCGGCGAGCGAACGGGGAGGAGCCCAGAGCCUGAAUCAGCAUGUGUGUUAGUGGAAGCGUCUGGAAAGGCGCGCGAUACAGGGUGACAGCCCCGUACACAAAAGCGCAUGUGCUGUGAGCUCGAUGAGUAGGGCGGGACACGUGGUAUCCUGUCUGAAUAUGGGGGGACCAUCCUCCAAGGCUAAAUACUCCUGACUGACCGAUAGUGAACCAGUACCGUGAGGGAAAGGCGAAAAGAACCCCGGCGAGGGGAGUGAAAAAGAACCUGAAACCGUGUACGUACAAGCAGUGGGAGCACAGGUUUACCUGUGUGACUGCGUACCUUUUGUAUAAUGGGUCAGCGACUUAUAUUCUGUAGCAAGGUUAACCGAAUAGGGGAGCCGGAGGGAAACCGAGUCUUAAUUGGGCGUUAAGUUGCAGGGUAUAGACCCGAAACCCGGUGAUCUAGCCAUGGGCAGGUUGAAGGUUGGGUAACACUAACUGGAGGACCGAACCGACUAAUGUUGAAAAAUUAGCGGAUGACCUGUGGCUGGGGGUGAAAGGCCAAUCAAACCGGGAGAUAGCUGGUUCUCCCCGAAAGCUAUUUAGGUAGCGCCUCGUGAAUUCAUCUCCGGGGGUAGAGCACUGUUUCGGCUAGGGGGCCAUCCCGGCUUACCAACCCGAUGCAAACUGCGAAUACCGGAGAAUGUUAUCACGGGAGACACACGGCGGGUGCUAACGUCCGUCGUGAAGAGGGAAACAACCCAGACCGCCAGCUAAGGUCCCAAAGUCAUGGUUAAGUGGGAAACGAUGUGGGAAGGCCCAGACAGCCAGGAUGUUGGCUUAGAAGCAGCCAUCAUUUAAAGAAAGCGUAAUAGCUCACUGGUCGAGUCGGCCUGCGCGGAAGAUGUAACGGGGCUAAACCAUGCACCGAAGCUGCGGCAGCGAACGUAUCACUUAAAGCGAUUCAGCGGGUUACGAUUGACGGAGCGAAGCGACGUCAAAGCGUAUACAAAGUCGAGUCGGUUUAAGGAUACGUUCGUUGGGUAGGGGAGCGUUCUGUAAGCCUGCGAAGGUGGCCUGUGAGGGUUGCUGGAGGUAUCAGAAGUGCGAAUGCUGACAUAAGUAACGAUAAAGCGGGUGAAAAGCCCGCUCGCCGGAAGACCAAGGGUUCCUGUCCAACGUUAAUCGGGGCAGGGUGAGUCGACCCCUAAGGCGAGGCCGAAAGGCGUAGUCGAUGGGAAACGGGUUAAUAUUCCCGUACUUGGUGUUACUGCGAAGGGGGGACGGAGAAGGCUAUGUUGGCCGGGCGACGGUUGUCCCGGUUUAAGCGUGUAGGUGUGUGUUCCAGGUAAAUCCGGUUCACUUUAACACUGAGGCGUGAUGACGAGGCACUACGGUGCUGAAGCAACAAAUGCCCUGCUUCCAGGAAAAGCCUCUAAGCAUCAGGUAACAUCAAAUCGUACCCCAAACCGACACAGGUGGUCAGGUAGAGAAUACCAAGGCGCUUGAGAGAACUCGGGUGAAGGAACUAGGCAAAAUGGUGCCGUAACUUCGGGAGAAGGCACGCUGACAUGUAGGUGAAGUGAUUUACUCAUGGAGCUGAAGUCAGUCGAAGAUACCAGCUGGCUGCAACUGUUUAUUAAAAACACAGCACUGUGCAAACACGAAAGUGGACGUAUACGGUGUGACGCCUGCCCGGUGCCGGAAGGUUAAUUGAUGGGGUCAGCGCAAGCGAAGCUCCUGAUCGAAGCCCCGGUAAACGGCGGCCGUAACUAUAACGGUCCUAAGGUAGCGAAAUUCCUUGUCGGGUAAGUUCCGACCUGCACGAAUGGCGUAAUGAUGGCCAGGCUGUCUCCACCCGAGACUCAGUGAAAUUGAACUCGCUGUGAAGAUGCAGUGUACCCGCGGCAAGACGGAAAGACCCCGUGAACCUUUACUAUAGCUUGACACUGAACAUUGAGCCUUGAUGUGUAGGAUAGGUGGGAGGCUUUGAAGCGUGGACGCCAGUCUGCGUGGAGCCGACCUUGAAAUACCACCCUUUAAUGUUUGAUGUUCUAACGUGGACCCGU